CCUACGGGAGGCUGCAGUGGGGAAUAUUGGACAAUGGGGGCAACCCUGAUCCAGCCAUGCCGCGUGUGUGAAGAAGGCCCUCGGGUUGUAAAGCACUUUCAGUGAGGAAGAACGCCUGGUGGUUAAUACCCAUCAGGAAAGACAUCACUCACAGAAGAAGCACCGGCUAACUCCGUGCCAGCUGCCGCGGUAAUACGGAGGGUGCGAGCGUUAAUCGGAAUUACUGGGCGUAAAGCGCGCGUAGGUGGCUUGAUAAGCCGGUUGUGAAAGCCCCGGGCUCAACCUGGGUACGGCAUCCGGAACUGUCAAGCUAGAGUGCAGGAGAGGAAGGUAGAAUUCCCGGUGUAGCGGUGAAAUGCGUAGAGAUCGGGAGGAAUACCAGUGGCGAAGGCGGCCUUCUGGACUGACACUGACACUGAGGUGCGAAAGCGUGGGUAGCAAACAGGAUUAGAUACCCGGGUAGUC
rnacentral:rRNA from 1 species